AAUAAGAUGCCUGAUUAAAGGGUUAUUUUGAUAGAAUAAAUCAAGUAAAUUUUACUCUUAUUG
rnacentral:tRNA from 1 species